UACGUAGGGUGCAAGCGUUAUCCGGAAUUAUUGGGCGUGAAGAGUCUCGUAGGCGGCUUUGUAAGUGAUGGGUUAAAGACCCCGGCUUAACCGGGGGAGUGCUCGUCAAACUGCAAAACUAGAGUUAGUUCGGGGAUACUGGAAUUCUCGGUGGAGGGGUGAAAUCCGUUGAUAUCGAGAAGAACACCAAAGGCGAAGGCAGGUAUCUAGGACUUAACUGACGCUGAUGAACGAAAGCUAGGGGAGCGAA
rnacentral:rRNA from 1 species